AGCGCGGGCUUCGGCCUGGCGGCGAGUGGCGGACGGGUGAGUAAUGCAUAGGAAUCUGCCCAGUAGCGGGGGACAACCUGGGGAAACUCAGGCUAAUACCGCAUACGCCCUACGGGGGAAAGCGGGGGACCUUCGGGCCUCGCACUAUUGGAUGAGCCUAUGUCAGAUUAGCUUGUUGGUGGGGUAAAAGCCUACCAAGGCGACGAUCUGUAGCUGGUCUGAGAGGACGAUCAGCCACACUGGGACUGAGACACGGCCCAGACUCCUACGGGAGGCAGCAGUGGGGAAUAUUGCACAAUGGGCGAAAGCCUGAUGCAGCAAUGCCGCGUGUGUGAAGAAGGCCUGCGGGUUGUAAAGCACUUUCAGUAGGGAGGAAACAGUAACGGAACAAUACCCGUUGCCUUGACGUUACCUACAGAAGAAGCACCGGCUAACUCUGUGCCAGCAGCCGCGGUAAUACAGAGGGUGCAAGCGUUAAUCGGAAUUACUGGGCGUAAAGCGCGCGUAGGUGGUGUGUCAGUCGGAUGUGAAAGCCCCGGGCUUAACCUGGGAAUUGCAUUCGAUACUGCCAGACUAGAGUGUAGUAGAGGGAAGCGGAAUUCCAGGUGUAGCGGUGAAAUGCGUAGAUAUCUGGAGGAACAUCAGUGGCGAAGGCGGCUUCCUGGACUAACACUGACACUGAGGUGCGAAAGCGUGGGGAGCAAAACAGGAUUAGAUACCCUGGUAGUCCACGCCGUAAACGAUGUCAACUAGACGUUGGGGGGGUUUAACCCUUUAGUGUCGCAGCUAACGCAAUAAGUU
rnacentral:rRNA from 1 species